rnacentral:rRNA from 1 species
AAUGACUUGCUUAUUGCACCACAUGUGUUUUUCUUUGAAACAAACUUGCUUUGGCGGUGGGCCCAGCCUGCCGCCAGAGGUCUAAACUUACAACCAAUUUUUUAUCAACUUGUCACACCAGAUUAUUACUUAAUAGUCAAAACUUUCAACAACGGAUCUCUUGGUUCUCGCAUCGAUGAAGAACGCAGCGAAAUGCGAUACGUAAUAUGAAUUGCAGAUAUUCGUGAAUCAUCGAAUCUUUGAACGCACAUUGCGCCCUCUGGUAUUCCGGAGGGCAUGCCUGUUUGAGCGUCGUUUCUCCCUCAAACCGCUGGGUUUGGUGUUGAGCAAUACGACUUGGGUUUGCUUGAAAGACGGUAGUGGUAAGGCGGGAUCGCUUUGACAAUGGCUUAGGUCUAACCAAAAACAUUGCUUGCGGCGGUAACGUCUACCACGUAUAUCUUCAAACUUUGACCUCAAAUCAGGUAGGACUACCCGCUGAACUUAAGCAUAUCAAAAGCGGGAGGAA